rnacentral:rRNA from 1 species
UACGUAGGGACCAAGCGUUGUUCGGAUUUACUGGGCGUAAAGGGCGCGUAGGCGGCGUGGUAAGUCACUUGUGAAAUCUCUGAGCUUAACUCAGAACGGCCAAGUGAUACUGCUGUGCUCGAGUGUGGAAGGGGCAAUCGGAAUUCUUGGUGUAGCGGUGAAAUGCGUAGAUAUCAAGAGGAACACCUGAGGUGAAGACGGGUUGCUGGGCCAACACUGACGCUGAGGCGCGAAAGCCAGGGGAGUAAACGGG